rnacentral:rRNA from 1 species
AGGCAGCAGUGGGGAAUAUUGCACAAUGGGCGCAAGCCUGAUGCAGCCAUGCCGCGUGUGUGAAGAAGGCCUUCGGGUUGUAAAGCACUUUCAGUCGUGAGGAAGGUAGUGUAGUUAAUAGCUGCAUUAUUUGACGUUAGCGACAGAAGAAGCACCGGCUAACUCCGUGCCAGCAGCCGCGGUAAUACGGAGGGUGCGAGCGUUAAUCGGAAUUACUGGGCGUAAAGCGCAUGCAGGUGGUUUGUUAAGUCAGAUGUGAAAGCCCGGGGCUCAACCUCGGAAUUGCAUUUGAAACUGGCAGACUAGAGUACUGUAGAGGGGGUAGAAUUUCAGGUGUAGCGGUGAAAAUGCGUAGAGAUCUGAAGGAAUACCGGUGGCGAAGGCGGCCCCCUGGACAGAUACUGACACUCAGAUGCGAAAGCGUGGGGAGCAAACAGGAUUAGAUACCCUGGUAG